rnacentral:rRNA from 10 species
GUUUACAUUUAUACCACCCUGAACACACCUGACCUUGUCUGACCUAGGAAGCUAAGCAGGGUUGGGCCUUGUUAAUC